rnacentral:rRNA from 1 species
UACGUAGGGGGCAAGCGUUGUCCGGAAUCAUUGGGCGUAAAGAGCGUGUAGGCGGCCUGGUAAGUCCGCUGUGAAAGUCCAGGGCUCAACCCUGGAAUGCCGGUGGAAACUGUCAGGCUCGAGUCCGGAAGAGGCGAGUGGAAUUCCUGGUGUAGCGGUGAAAUGCGCAGAUAUCAGGAGGAACACCAAUGGCGAAGGCAGCUCGCUGGGACGGUACUGACGCUGAGACGCGAAAGCGUGGGGAGCAAACAGGAUA